AUUGAACGCUGGCGGCAUGCCUUACACAUGCAAGUCGAACGGUAACGCGGGGCAACCUGGCGACGAGUGGCGAACGGGCGAGUAAUAUAUCGGAACGUGCCCAAUAGUGGGGGAUAGCCCGGCGAAAGCCGGAUUAAUACCGCAUACGACCUGAGGGUGAAAGCGGGGGAUCGCAAGACCUCGCGCUAUUGGAGCGGCCGAUAUCAGAUUAGGUAGUUGGUGGGGUAAAGGCCUACCAAGCCUACGAUCUGUAGCUGGUCUGAGAGGACGACCAGCCACACUGGGACUGAGACACGGCCCAGACUCCUACGGGAGGCAGCAGUGGGGAAUUUUGGACAAUGGGCGCAAGCCUGAUCCAGCCAUGCCGCGUGCGGGAAGAAGGCCUUCGAGUUGUAAACCGCUUUGUCAGGGAAGAAAUCUUCUGGGUUAAUACCUCGGGAGGAUGACGGUACCUGAAGAAUAAGCACCGGCUAACUACGUGCCAGCAGCCGCGGUAAU
rnacentral:rRNA from 1 species